AAUCCGUGGUGCAGGAAUUUUUCCAUCAACAUUUUGAAACAUUCCCAUGCCUUAGAGAAACUUUCACCCUUCAUUUGUCUAAAGAAGACUUCUGUAGAAACU
rnacentral:snoRNA from 1 species